rnacentral:rRNA from 1 species
GGCUUGUUGAUUUGGAUUUUAAGUCGGGCCUGCCCAAUGAAGUUUUAAAUGGCCGCAGUAUUUUGACUGUGCAAAGGUAGCAUAAUCAUUAGUUUUUUAAUUGAGAACUUGAAUGAAUGGUUUAAUGAAAUGAUUUCUGUCUCUAGAAAAAUUUAAUAGAAUUUUAUUUUUAAGUGAGAAAGCUUAAAUGUUUAUAGAAGACGAGAAGACCCUAUAGAGUUUUAUACAAAGAGGAGAUUGGUUUUUUGGAUUUAGAAGGUUGAUUUUUAUCUGAGUAUUUGGUUGGGGUGACAAGGAAAUUGAUUGAACUUUUUUUUAUUUAAACAUUUAUUUAUGGAAGUGUGAUCCUAGAGUUAGAUUAAAAGAUUAAAUUACCUUAGGGAUAACAGCGUAAUUUUCUUUAGAGUUCUUAUCGAAGGGAAAGAUUGCGACCUCGAUGUUGGAUUAAAUUUAAUUGCUGGUGAAGAGGCUAGUUAAUUUGGUCUGUUCGACCUUUAAAAUUUUACAUGAUCUGAGUUUAGACCGGUGUGAG